CACAAAACUUAGAUCCAGUUUGUAAAAACAUUACAGACCCAAACAUCUGUCUGGAGCCACUUCUUCAACCGAUCCAGGAGCAGUCUGGUGGGGAUUUGUGGAUUUCCCAGCAUGAAGGAGAGGCUAAGUGACAACAAACCUGCAUUCGGGAAUCUGAACGCAGCAGGCUGACCUCAAAGCUGAACCCAGAAUAGGUUUUAAAAGAAAACACAAACCAAACGUAAGCAAACCAGACCCAGAAAGCAUGAACCACCGCAGGACAACAAAAUUCUCGUCUCUCCUCCUGGGAUCAGGCAGUUCUCUGUCCGUCUGAUGGGGAAACGCAGCAGAUCACAGCUGGCUCUGUGCCCACAGAUAGAGCUGCUCCCCAGCGGCCUCACACUGCUGCCUCAGAUCCCGGUCCAAACCUCCCGCCCGGCCCAAAAGGUCAACCCUCCGCCCCUGGAGCCUGCAACCGUCGCCUCACCUCUGGCACAAACACCAUCAGCCUUCCUCUGCCAGCUUGUUACACCCAGACGAACACAAUCCAUUGCUGUGUUUUAUUUGGAGAUGAACGUCUGAACUCUCUGUUCGCGAGGACGUCUUGUCACUUUAAAGCCAAAUGAGCUGCUGCUGUCCACGACACUCAAGUCAACGCUUACACUUUCACGUGAAAAUGGCUGCAAACAGAAGCACAAUUACACAACCGUACAUCUUUGAAAAGCAGAAGUGGAGUCUCCUGCACAACCAACAAGAAUCCAGCAAGUGGUUUCUGGAUAGUAAGUCAGCAAUAAAACCCUUGUCUUUUCCAGCA